UAUACCCUGCUGCGUUCGUGUUGAGGUCAUUAAUUUUGGUCCAACGCCUUUAAACUAGGGAGCCUUUUAUUUGUGCCAAGUGCACGCCCCGCAAGGGGAAGCCGGAAGCACAGAUGUUGGCACCCACCUGUUGACAGGGCCCAAAAUCCGGCUUCUCACGGCGAUUGGCGGGGUUAAU
rnacentral:other from 1 species